rnacentral:tRNA from 1 species
GGCCCGGAAGUCAAACCUGGCCAAGACGCUCGCCUGAAGAGCGAGAGAACGCCGGUUCAAAUCCCGCCCGGGCCA